CACAUCUCUCCCCCGAUUCCCCUCUCUCACGCGAGCUCCAUGGCCACAAGGCCCACAACGUUGCCGCCGCCCCCGAAUCCGGGCAGUUCCGGCGCAGUUCCGUGCCGCUGCUCACCGGCCCCCUCCCCCUCACUGUUCUUCUCCUAUCUUCCGCCGCCUUAACGUCGUCCCCGCCCCUGCACGCGCCCCCGCAGCAACCCUAGUGGCCACGGGUCGCUGGUGCGGCUCCCCUGCCUCUGGUUUAUCUGCCAACUACCCCUGCGUCUCCGCACCCAUGGCUGCCAACUCGGGCUCAACGGUGCUGCUCCGCCUCGGUUACCUCGACUCUGACGUCGACAGUCCUGUAAGUCACUCCUCCCCUCUGCUGCUUUGUGUGGCAAGGCCAUCGUGCCAUGGCUGAUUCCUUGCCGUCCAUCACGAUGAUGAUCCUAAUAAACCAAAUAUUACUCUGUAGAAGCGUUACUUUUGUUGAGGAGUGCUGCCUAAAUUUGUUCUUCCACUCAUACAUAAUUGUGGUAUAUCUUUCUAGUAAAAGUUAUGUCAGCUGUGGCGUUCUAACAAUAAUUAUCCUGGCCAAGUUGCAUAAAGAAAGUAACUAAUUUGCAUCUAGAAAUGUACUAGUAUAUAUAAGGCUUGUAAGUGCAUUUGGCAGCAACAAAAAAUAGCUUGCAUCCCAUCUAAUUAACCAACUCAAUCAAUUUUUUGACGGUUAUAUCUAUAUAUAGCAUAUAGCUCAAAUAUAUAUAUGUGGCAUGUACUCUCUGUCCCAGUUGUCCUUUACAUGUGUGCAUAAUCUGUCGCAAAGCCUUUUCUUGCAAAUGCAACAAAUAUCGCUAACUAGCCAUUGACCUCCUUAAUUAUUCAUAUCUAGUACGUGCAAAUGGUAAUUAUAGGCUUAUAGCAUGGACGGCUAUGAACCCCAGAUGGCCAGAAGCAGGGGCGGAUCCACUAUUGGUGAUGGCUGUAGCUCUCCUGUGACAAAAAUUCCUAUAUGUAGGUAUAUGGCAAAAAUACUAAGAGUACAUUCUUUGAGAGACUACGCAGUAGCUCUCCUGUGACAAACAGACCAAUAAAAGCCCAUCGGCUGCAGCGGCACAACCCACUAAGCAGCAGCCCAAGAGCAGCAACCAGUCACAUCUACCGUCACGCACGACCGAACGAGAGACACUUAGCAGCUCAGCUCUGUUCAAAUGCUCCUAAAAAACCUCAGUCCAAAUUCACCAAAUCCACCAGCACGGUAGCACUAGAGCCAGAUGAGCACGGGGGAGCGGCGCUCUGACCUCUGUGCGGGCGUGCGGCUGUGCCGAUGGAGAGGUCGACGAAGUCGCGGGCUCCGGACGCUGAUAGGAUGGAGCCCUCCGUGCGGCUGGCCCAGAAGUUAGUUUUUUUUAACCAUCUUCUUAUCAAAUUUUGAUUGCUUUACUCUCUGAUUUUUCUUUGUGUGAACAUAUAGUAGGGUUGUGUUAUAGUGAAGAAAGUAAGUUAUAUUCACUCCAGACCUACAUAUCUGUUAAUGGAACUUUUAUGUUUGUUCAAGUUGACAUUAAAACAUACUUGUAUCAGUUAUAUCGUAUUUAUAUGAGGAUGUGUGAAAUAAACAGUGUAUUAUAGUCCUUUUAAAUACACAACUAUUUUUGUAUUACUGCCCGAACAUAUAAAUUUUCUUCGCAUACGUUGUAGAACCACGAUCACAUGCUUGAUCCACUGCAUCACUCAAUGGUCAUGAGCUCCACUGUCGUCAUCUGCAGAGUGAAAUAUGACCACCUAGGGAUAGCCGUUGUGCCAUUGUAGAUCACAGGUGGACAACAACCAUCAUGGUGAUUGGUGAGCAACCUUGUUGGAGCCUCGAGGCCCAAAAUUCCACUUCACCUUUCUAGGUAUUUCAGUUUUGGGCUUGCAUAUUUCAGUUUGUCAUCUAGUUCUGCCCAUGUAAGAGUUGUUUCUAGCUGGGUAUGUGUUAAUCCAGGAAGAAUAUUUCCAUCUCUUUUCCUAAAUAAUUCUUUCUUGUGAUGAAUUAGGUUUGAUUCUCUUUCUGCUAUGUGUGUGGAUAAUUAGUUAUAUUUUCGUGAAGAUUUUCAUGGCAGAUCAAGUAAAUAAGCUGUGAUGGUAUCUCUGGAUAUCCUAGCUGUGACCCUGUGACCAAGUCAUGAAAGAAGAUUCCUUCAAGUAUUAGUUAAUAGGUUCUAAAGUGACUUUGCUUCAGGUAACAUGCUUGUGUUUGUUGUUUCUCUUAACAGGUAAAUCUUCGAGACUUGUGAAUAUUGCAAAUAGGAAAUAUAUAAAUCAAUAAGUUCACAGAAUAUGCCUUAAGAAUGAACUCAGAGCUUUGGCUUUAUUAAAUGGAAUCUUCGCAAGUUGAUGAUUGCGCCACACCACUCUUUUAAAUAAAUUAAGUUCUUUAAAAAUGCAAUGUUUUUAUUUGUUUAUUUUCGUAUUCUAUAGUUGAAUUUUCAAUGGAAGACUAGCAUACGUGUUAUCUAGCUUGAUAUUCUUGGCUGAUGUAAGAUAAAGCAUUCAGAUCCAUAUUUUGUACAAUUCUAUACACCAUAAUCCAGAAUAUUAUACAAAAUCUUAGGAUGGAUACAGUUCUUGUGUUCAUGUGUUAUACAAGAUAAAUCAUUACAGAAUUUGAAUGCAAGAAUAUUCUAACUUUUGUUUACAUGAAUCACAACUAUGAACAUGCAGAGACAUGAAAAAUAUUUUGAAUUAUCAAAUAUGAAGUCGUUUUAUGCAUUUAUUUUAGUUUCAGUUUCAGCUACAUCCGAUUUCCCAAGCUUUCUGUACCUAUUUGUAUUGUUUGAUCAGUCAUUUGUCAAUCGCCGACCACUCGACCUACCUUAAGCUGCACCAAAGGCGUGCCACCGCAUAGGUAAGCUUCUCUCUCGCGCCCUCUACAUUUGCAUACUUUACCUUGCUUUGGUGAAUCUGAAAGAUGAUGACUACUACUAUUGACAAAAGGGAAAGAUCAGGAAAAUUUUGAGAGUUGAAAACACACCUCUUCCUCUGAUGGAUGCUUCCAACUACUAGAACUAGAUGGUUCCUAUAUUGAGUUCACCCACUAACCUGCUAGAAAAAGAAAUGUCAUUUUAGCAUUCUUAAAUAGGAAAACAUACAUUGCAUGUACUUAUAAGUUGUAACAUGACAGAAAAUUUAAACAAUAUUGUGUAAACUACUAUGGAGGUCAGAUUUAUAUCAUUAUUUGCCAGGCUUGGUGACUCAUGUCAGUUUUUUGUUGUUGUAGAUUGCAAGACAAAUAGAUGGUCCAUGGCUAAGCUGUUGAUUGCAAGAUAAAUAGAUGGCGCAUGGCUAAUUUGUUGAUUGCAAGGCGGAGAAUGGGGCAACUACCAGAUAGUUCUACAUUAAUGUUAAGAGUGUUACUUUCAUGGUCAAUGUAUAGAAAAUCAUGUAUAUAUUCCCUGGAUCAUGUUCCAUGUAUUGCAAACGAGUUGAUUUAAUAUAUGAGAUCUUUCUGUUUA